rnacentral:rRNA from 1 species
UACGGAGGGUGCAAGCGUUAUCCGGAUUUACUGGGUUUAAAGGGUGCAUAGGUGGGUAGGAAAGUCAGUGGUGAAAUCUUCGGGCUUAACCCGGAAACUGCCAUUGAUACUAUUUAUCUUGAAUACUUUGGAGGUAAGCGGAAUAUGUCAUGUAGCGGUGAAAUGCUUAGAUAUGACAUAGAACACCAAUUGCGAAGGCAGCUUACUACACAGUUAUUGACACUGAGGCACGAAAGCGUGGGGAUCAAACAGG